AAUCAGUUACACACAAAAUGGCGGACGUUUUACAACAACUUACACUACUAUAAACACCUCGUGUGACACAAAACAUCCCACAAGGACUAAACGCAGCUGAAGACAACAACAUAAUCUUUUUUGCAAAGAUUUCAACCUAAAAAAAUCUUUGUUGGAUAUGCCCGACAACAGCUUCCUAACAACCAUACGAAUAUCCUCCAGCUCAUCAGUCAACUUCUGCGCGGGUUCCACGAUUAAUAUCAACCGUGAAAUAUGAAAUAACAACCAGGAGAAGUGCAGGAACAAAAUAACAAACAUAGAAUUACCCAACAUGUGAAAAAACACAAAAUACGGCCGCAGAAUCAUAUUAAUCAAUAUAUUAACCAAUAACAUCUAAAAACAACAAAAACACCAUUAAAACAACCAUUUUAAAUCAUAUUAUAACCUUACUAAUAUUGUAGGUCCAAAUAACUUGUUAAACAACGCCAAAGCUUCAAUAAGAUGUUCAUACAACUGCAUUAAAUCCACCAUGUGCUGCA